CCCUUAGAUGUUCUGGGCCGCACGCGUGCUACACUGAGUGGAUCAGCGGGUCAGGUUGCGCGAAAGCGUUUCCUAAUCUUUAAAUCCGCUCGUGAUGGGGAUUGACGGUUGCAAUUUUCUGUCAUGAACGAGGAAUACCUUGUAAGCGCGGGUCAUCAUCCCGCGCUGAAUACGUCCCUGCCCUUUGUACACACCGCCCGUCGCUCCUACCGAUUGAGUGGUCCGGUGAAUAAUUCGGACUGCAGCAGUGCUUGGUCCUCCGGGCUUUGCAGCGGAAAGUUUAGUGAACCUUAUCACUUAGAGGAAGGAGAAGUCGUAACA
rnacentral:rRNA from 1 species